CAGUGAACCUCGCCGGGGGCCGCCGCUAGACCCGCCCCUCUAGCCAGCCUGGCCCCGCCCCGGCCCGUCCCCUCUCGCCCCUCCGCCUCCUCGGCCCGCCCCCGGCCUCCGCCCCGUUCCGGGCGCUCGGAGCCCCGCCCCGGGCACGUACAGCUGCGAGACAGGCACGUACUAUUUAAAUAAUGGCGCCAAGCGGGGAGAUUUGACAGUUACUCCCCCCUAGGCCUCCCCGCCCCCCAUCGUCGCCCGGCCAGCGCCUCCAGGGACCGGCCGGAGCGAGAGGGCUGCUGGCCUGAGCCCCGCCCCUCCGCGGCCUGCGGAACCCUUCUGCAAAGCUUGGAUGCCUGCAGUCACAGGAACGAUAAUACCCCUUCCCCCAAGCAGCAAGUCCUUUUCGGCACCUGCUACCUGCGAGGCUACACGUGGGCUAAAAAUAACAAUCCAUUACAUUUAAGGAUCACCUGACGAAGUGUUUCCAGGUCUCUUAGCUCAGAUCCUCCUCAUGACAACGCGGUGAGUUCCCUAGGGAUUAUCCACAACGUUGUUGCCUGUGCCCAGGGGGGCCGCUCACCCCGGUUCUUGGUUCACCACCAUCACUCCUGCAACAUCCAACACUGCUGGUUUUAAGAGACCCUGAAGGCCUGCGACUGCCCACAGUGACUUGCCCUUUACCUCUUUUUUGCUUCAUUAUUUUCUACUUUUGGUCACAGAUGAAUCUGGGGGAGAUAACGUUUGCUUUGCUGUAAUUCAUCAAUUCUGGGACUCCGAGGGACUAUUCCACGCAGGAGCUUGGUGAGGGAGGUGUCAUCAUCCCAUCCUAGAGAUUGAGAGAGAGUGCCAAGAAGUUAAACCCUUCAUCCCAGGCAUCUGGGUUUGCAACUACUCUUCCAAACCCACGAGGAAGAAGAGAAACAUUUUCCUAAUUGUCCCCUAAUUUGGAAGUCUGCUUCUCUCUCAGUGGAGUUUGUCCUGCACAUUAUUACUG
rnacentral:lncRNA from 1 species